UAUUGUCUUGUUGAGUUAGCAUUGAUUUUACCUGUUGCAACUGCAGCGGUGGAAAGGGCAUUCUAAACAAUGAGCAUUAUCAAGACUGGAUUGAGAAACAAAAUGGGCGAUGAGUGGAUGCAUAACAAAAUGGUAUGUUACAUUGAAUGAGAUGUAUUUGUUAGUAUUGAAGAAUCAAAGACCAUUGAACGAUUUCAAGGUUAUCGCACACGCAAAGGCCUUUUGCCUCGUCCUAGACAUAAGUUUUCACAUUUUGCAUCUGUUAUUAACUAG
rnacentral:rRNA from 1 species